CAACAUAAGAGUUGUUUGACACCCAGUCUCCUCCUCCUCUCACUGCGCGGGAGCCUUCUGCGCAGGGAGGGCGUAGGUAGCGGAGGACCUGUCCCCUCCUCACUGAGUUCCAGUGAAGAGUCCGGGAGCCCUCUCUCCGAUUUCCCCAUCUGCCCACUUUUGUUCCUGGUGUUGCGCUUAAAUGCUUCCCCCUCCACUGAGCUGCUUCUCCCCCUGCUGCUGGGUCCUUCUCCAGCAUCAUCUAGGAGCCUCCCCUUCGCCUCCCGCUCCGAUGUCAGUUCCCUGACAU